rnacentral:piRNA from 3 species
UUUUACUAAAGAUUUCCGUGGAG